UACGUAGGGUGCAAGCGUUAAUCGGAAUUACUGGGCGUAAAGCGUGCGCAGGCGGUUGUGCAAGACAGAUGUGAAAUCCCCGGGCUUAACCUGGGAAUUGCAUUUGUGACUGUACGGCUAGAGUGUGUCAGAGGGGGGUAGAAUUCCACGUGUAGCAGUGAAAUGCGUAGAGAUGUGGAGGAACACCGAUGGCGAAGGCAAUCCCCUGGACCUGUACUGACGCUCAUGCACGAAAGCGUGGGGAGCAAACAGG
rnacentral:rRNA from 1 species